rnacentral:lncRNA from 1 species
AAUAUUGUUAUUAUGGGAAUAUGAUAUGCAGUAAAUUAAAGCCCUGCAUAAAAGAACCAGUGAAUUUUGACUUCAGGCUGAAGUGGUUCUUAUAUAAUCUUAUGCGCGAAUCAAAUCGAAACCUUGACAUCCCCCCCGGGCAUACCCCCGGGAAUUUGGAUUUUGACGUUUUGGUCAGGUCAAAUUCCCUACAUAUAUUUGUAAUUCCCGUUCAAAUACACCACGUAUUGGGAAAAAUUGGAGUUCAAAUACCCCACCCCAUGUACGAAUUGGAAGCUACAGCAUUUCGCAAUUUUGGAAUUUCAAAGUUUUUCUUUCCUUCAAAAACUCUCUUCAAUCGUUUAAAGCUGUUUUCUUGUAGCCAACCAAGGACAAAGUUAAUUCCUUUGCACUUGAAGACCUUGAACUCAUCCAUUAAUUAUUGACGCCAUUUUGGAUUCUGCACACGUGUUUUAAAAGAAAAAUUCAAAUUCCCGACCCAGGUUCAAAUUCCCCACCUUCCACUAGAAAAAAGGUCAAAUUCCCGC